rnacentral:rRNA from 1 species
UUUUCGCAAUGCCCGAAAGGGUGACGAAGCGACGCCGCGUGGGUGAGGAAGGCCUUCGGGUUGUAAAGCCCUGUCAGGAGUUAAGAAAUGUAAGUGUGCUAAUAUCGCAUUUACUUGACGAAGGCUCCAAAGGAAGUCACGGCUAACUCUGUGCCAGCAGCCGCGGUAAUACAGAGGUGGCAAGCGUUGUUCGGAAUUAUUGGGCGUAAAGAGCACGUAGGUGGGUUUGUAAGUCAGAUGUGAAAGCCUCCUGUUCAACGGGAGAAUUGCAUCUGAAACUACUGAUCUUGAGUAUAGGAGGGGAGAAUGGAACUUCUGGUGGAGCGGUGAAAUGCGUAGAUAUCAGAAGGAACGCCGGCGGCGAAAGCGAUUCUCUGGCCUAUUACUGACACUCAGUGUGCGAAAGCUAGGGGAGCAAACGGGAUUAGAUACCCCGGUAGUCCUAGCCGUAAACGAUGGGCACUAAGUAGAGGGGUUUUA